rnacentral:lncRNA from 1 species
CGCCCCCUCUCGGCGGCCUGGGUCUGUUCGCCCGCGCGCGGUCCCGCCGCCUCACGCGCGCGUCUCCCUUGCUCCCCAGCGCUCACGCUCGCGCGCAGUUCCCUGUCGCCGGCUAGCCUUCAGCCGCCGACGUCUCGGCCCCUCAGAAAGCCGGUCGCACCAUGUCUUCGCCUCCCGAGGGAAAGCUAGAGACGAAAGCAGGACACCCGCCCGCCGUGAAAGCUGGUGGGAUGCGAAUUGUGCAGAAACAUCCGCACUCUGGAGAUGCCAAGGAAGAGAAGGACAAGGAUGACCAGGAGUGGGAAAGCCCCAGCCCACCCAAACCGACGGUGUUCAUCUCUGGAGCCAUCGCCCGGGGUGAUAAAGACUUUCCCCCUGCGGCUGCCCAGGUGGCCCACCAGAAGCCCCAUGCCUCCAUAGACAAGCAUCCAUGCCCGAGAACCCAGCACAUCCAGCAGCCUCGCAAGUGAUCGGCGAGCACCCACCACCCACCCUAGCCUCGGUUCCCUGACACUUGGUAUUUCCCAACAAAGAGGACUGGCAUCUUCUUCAAAACACUUCCCCGUGGAGAAAUCCAAGACAAAGCAAAACUCCCCUUCCGUUGCCUUAAAUUUCCACAUCUAACACUAGAAUCAGACCCCAAACCUUGUUUGCAGGGAGUCCUGGCUGGUGUCACUUGAGGGUCCUUGGGCCUCUUACAAGUGCCAUUAGCAGAACUUACCGGACCUGAGUGAAAUGAGCUUGUUCAGAGUUUAGCUUUGUUCCCAUUCAUCGGCUGCCCUGUCAGUGGACUUAAAAACAAGCGGGCACAGAUUUUGGAGGGUUAGAGGAAGGUCAGGGGAAAGCUCAGUCAUUUCAUGCUUUUUGGUAAGAGGACCAUAACGUCUUAACACCUAGUGGACAGAGAAAGAGAUGAAGGCAUUGAUUACAGGAAGGCUGAGCAGGGGAGACUUUUGAAACAGGCAACAGCAUCGCUGUAUUUCCCUCCCUUGUGUGACAAGGGAUCACAGCACAGGAGACACCAAGCACUCACAGAAAGGCCACGGAAAAGCUCACAGCUUUGAAAUGGCUCUUCUUUCCCAGGAGUCAUCUUGCUGAAAAUUUUGCCCAAACCAGAUCUGUCAGUGCGGGUCCCAAGUCCGGCACAGCCCCACCAUCCAUAAUGGGUUUGUAGGAAAUCAAGGAAAACCUUCCUUCUUCAAGCAUCACCUCCAGAGCUGUCUUCAGGUUCUGGCCGUGAUCACUGACCAGGUGACACAUAGCUAGUCUUGGAACCCUAGAGCAAAAGCCGUUAACGUCCGUGGAAAGACCAGAUGAAAACCUGCCCUUUGCCUCCCUAGGGAAAAGCAGAACACCAUGUGCCAUUUGAGCUACAAAAGCCUGUUUGUCAACCAGUCAAAGUGUCCAGAUUCCCUCUGCCCAAGGGCCCCGUUGCCUGGGCCCAUGUUCACUUGCCAUCUCAAACCGUCUAGCACUUUCUGUCCACAUGUCCUGCCCAGAGCCACCCUAGACUGCCCACUGGCUCAUAGCUACCAUAUGCCUUGCUUUUCUGAAAAGCCAAAGGGCUCAUUUAUUUACUCAGAGGUUCAAAUCUCCCAGAGCAGAUGCUUUGAGAGAAGUCCUUGCGAUGCCUUCUCCAGGUCCACAGCCAUGACUGGUAAGAGUGCCAGAGGCCAGGAGACCCAGCUCUCAUCCUUCCCUAAGGGAAAAGCCAGCACUUCUUCACAUCCUAAAAGUAAUGUUUGGUUUCCCAUCUCAUUGAUGUGGGAGCCGGGGUCUUACCCUGCAAGCGCUGUAUAGUCACGUCUCCUAGUCCUUAAUUGCUAAGAUGCUGCCAUACUCUGGGGCUGGCUUGUGGAGAUGCAGGCUAGAUGGGCAGCCACCUCCUGGAGGCAGCAUCUCUGAAGGAUGCUGAGAGCAGACAGCACCAGGUCAGGUCUGUGGACCACUACACCCUCUGCUGCAGAAAUGAAGACACGUCCUCGAUGCUUUUUAGUGUUGCAGCCAGGAUCAACUCGCUACUCCCCAUGGUGCAUCUUUCACGUCCUUUUUGCUACAUCUGGCAUGGAGCUGUGUGUUGUAGAAUCACUGAACGCAAAAGGUUCUCCUGGAUGAGUUUAUCUGUAGUUAACUUUUAAGAAUAAUAAUGGUGAUAAUAAAGCUCCUGCAUU